ACCUCAGCUAGCUCAAUUGGUAGAGCAAAAGACUCUCAGUCUCAGGGUCGUGGGUUCAAACCCCAUGUUGGGCA